UACGUAGGGGGCUAGCGUUGCUCGGAAUCACUGGGCGUAAAGCGCACGUAGGCGGACUCUUAAGUCGGUGGUGAAAUCCUGGAGCUCAACUCCAGAACUGCCUUCGAUACUGAGAGUCUCGAGUCCGGGAGAGGUGAGUGGAACUGCGAGUGUAGAGGUGAAAUUCGUAGAUAUUCGCAAGAACACCAGUGGCGAAGGCGGCUCACUGGCCCGGUACUGACGCUGAGGUGCGAAAGCGUGGGGGAGCAAACAGG
rnacentral:rRNA from 1 species